rnacentral:ncRNA from 1 species
UUUUUUGAGAGUUUGAUUCUAGCUCAGGAUGAACGCUGGCGGCGUGUCUAAGGCAUGCAAGUCGAGCGACGUGCUCGCUAACACAUUGAAAGCAAUAAGCAGCUUAAGCAGAGUAAGCACCACAUUGCCUACUCUGCCUACCUUGCCUACCUUGCUGGCAGCGUGUUAGUGAGUUACGAGCGGCAAACGGGUGAGUAACACAUUGGCAACCUUCCUUCAAGCCGGGGAUAGCUCGCCGAAAGGCGAAUUAAUAUCCGAUGGCCAUGCGGGGUCAUAUGACAUUCGCAUGUAAAGAUUUAUCACUUGAAGAGGGGCCUAUGGCCCAUCAGCUAGUUGGUAGGGUAACGGCCUACCAAGGCAUUGACGGGUAUCAGGCGUGAGAGCGCGACCUGACUCAGUGGGACUGCGACACUGCCCACACUCCUACGGGAGGCUGCAGUCAAGAAUAUUCCUCAAUGGACGAAAGUCUGAAGGAGCGACGCCGCGUGUAGG